rnacentral:rRNA from 1 species
UACGGAGGGGGCUAGCGUUGUUCGGAAUUACUGGGCGUAAAGCGCACGUAGGCGGACCAGAAAGUUGGGGGUGAAAUCCCGGGGCUCAACCCCGGAACUGCCUUCAAAACUAUUGGUCUGGAGUUCGAGAGAGGUGAGUGGAAUACCGAGUGUAGAGGUGAAAUUCGUAGAUAUUCGGUGGAACACCAGUGGCGAAGGCGGCUCACUGGCUCGAUACUGACGCUGAGGUGCGAAAGCGUGGGGAGCAAACAGG